GUACUGUAGGUGUGUCCUAUUUAGAUUCAUAGUUUUAUCCUGCCCUAGGUUAUUAAGUAAUCUCCCCCGAGCUAUGUUGACCCUUUUGGUUGUGAGGGCACAUCCAUCGCAAUGAACACGAACCAUAUCAGUGAACCAAAGAAAAACUAGAUGCGUGUUUAGUGACUAAGAAACGGAAGGAGGGAGGUAGUAAGCGCCAGUCUUAACUGCAGAAGAUUAAGGACUUGGGAGCAAAGAGGAGUGGACCAACCCACCUGAAGCCGAAUGAGGAGGAGGAAGCUCCAUGGCUGCUUCGUCCCGAGCAGCAGCAAGGUUGUACAGUGGCCAUUCCUCCCUACAGGUCUAUAGGAGAAGAGAAGAACAAAGGUUAGAGAAAUGGGCAGAGAGAGAGAGGAUGAAACUAGGGGAGGGGAUGUACUCACCGGACGAGAGGAGGGCGGCAUGACCACCGGCGUCGAAGCAGACGCCGGCAACCCUAGCCAUGGGGAAGGUCGCCGCUGAUCUUUGGUGGUCGUGAGCGCCGGAUCUAGUCCAAUGGGAGGGCGCCGCAGUGUGAGA
rnacentral:lncRNA from 1 species